rnacentral:lncRNA from 1 species
AUGGGAGAACUCACUGUUUCCGGAGAUCGGUUUUCGGAAUUUCCCCAAGUCGACGGUAGGAGGCCGGUCAGGUUUCUGCGGGGCCGGCCCCAGGGUGAAAGGAGCAGGCCGGGCUUCCCCGCCACGGGAGGCUUGGGAGAUCCGAACUUCGGAAGGAUGGCCGGCCCCGGGGGAGAACCGUUACCACCCGGAUUGGCGAAGACAUUCAUCCUGGCCUGGAGUCCGGCGGCUGGUGGGGUCGGCCCCGCCACCCUGAAAGGUCGGUUGCUUCCCGGGGCAUCUUCCGUGGGGUUCCCCCCUGUGUUGAACUUCGCCAUGAGGGAUUUCACAUCGGUCUUGCCAUCCUGCGUGCACCAACGGGGAACAAAAAAAACGGCCGAAAGUGAGAAGCUUCGCUUGAACUACGCGUACGGACACAAAAAAUGCUGUACUGUAAAGGGUUUCCUGGUUUGAGGCUGACGGCGCAGCCGAUUGGUUAGAAAGAUAUUGUAACAUUUAUCUUCCUGUAUGGCAAAAGAAGUCUUGUGCAAAGUUUUUUUUUUUCUUUCUUCUAGAUGAUGUGUUGCUUUCAGUGCCAUUCCUAUUAAAUAAAAUUGCUCAUAAAGCUUUGCUGUGUUCUUGUGGAACUGCUUUCUGCAGGUAGGUUUUCUUCAGACGGGGGUUUUUUCCUCUCUCUCUCAGCCCUCUCUCCCAACAAUUUAAAAAGAGAUUCCUCCUGGUUCUGCAAUCGGGACUUCUCUAAAUAGGAACUAGCUUUUUCGUUUUGUUUGCUUCGUUUGUUUUAAAACCUAAAUCCAAGACUCCCAGACAAAAUGUGUGUGGCCCAAUGCUUUGACAAUUCACAACUCUCUCUGCUGUCAGGGGGAUAUCUUGCUUCUCAAACUUCCCCUUCUAUUUUGGUUUGAGCCCUGGCUGCUAGUUUCCAAAAGACUUCAGGGGUUGUUAACAAGGCAGGAAAUAAAAGCUACUGUUAGAAAAAAGCAGAAAAAUGUCAUUUUUCUAUUUGCUGUGGGAAAAGCGGAACGUGUGGUAGUGACUCACAAUUUUCACUGUUAAAAUUUACACAGUCAUUGAGGAGACUUUUGCAUGCACAAUGGAAGGGCAAUUUGCCAGGAAGUGGAGACUUUUCACGUGGCAGAAAAGGUGAAGGCUAAGAGAUCUCUCUAAUGGUUCUUCAGUGGAGAUGUUUGAGAUUUUCCAAUAUGUAAGAAUAAAGAGAAGCAACGUGGCUUAGUGGAUAGAGCAUGGCCCUGGGAGUCAGAAAGACCUGGGUUCAAAUUCCGGCUCCGCUCCUUGUCUGCUGUGUGACCUUGGACAAGUCUAUUCACUUCUCUAGGGCUCAGUUACCCCAUUUGUAUAAUGGGGAUUAAGAGUGUGAGCCCCAUUUGGGGCGGGAACUUUGUCCAACCUGACUGAUGACUUUGUCCUACCUGAUUUGCAUCUAUUCUUGUGUUUAGAACAGUGCUUGGCACAUAAGGGCUUAACAAGUACCAAAAUUAUUAUUAAAAUCAUGAUUGAUAAUCUCGGGGUUAUCCACCUGAAUCCUAUUCAUUAAGCCUGUCUCUAAUGUGUGGGGCACUGCACAGAGCAAUAAGCCAUGAUCCAUGCACUCAUGUUUUACAUUCAUGUAUAUCCUUCCAGGAAGAGGAAAAAAAAUGCAGCUGGAGAACUUCCUUGGCAUCUUAAAGACCAGUGUGAGACUCAGAAGUUUGCAGAUACAACUUCUAGAGUUGCCACACACCUUAAGGAAAAAGAAAGACUUAAAUUGUCCCGACUGUGGAGUAUGUGGAAAUGUGCUUGUUCUCCAAAUCCCUAAGAAGCAAUAUUAUCUUUUGAUAACAACAGCAAGUCAUACUCUCAAAAUAAGAUACAGAAAUAGGCGUUAGACUAUUUCUGGCUCUUUUUUUUUUUUUAAGCAUGGCCUAGUGUAGAAGUAGCAUGGCCUAGUGGAUAGAGCACGAGCUUGGGAGUCAGAAGGACAUGGGUUCUGCUUCUGGCUCUGCCACUUGCCCGCUAUAUGACCUUGGGCAGUUCACUCUUUGUCUGCUCAGCUGUAUAUAUUUCCAUUACCCUAUUUAUUUUGUUAAUGAGAUGUACAUCACCUUGAUUCUAUUUAUUUGCUAUUGUUUUAAUGAGAUGUUCAUCCCCUUGAUUCUCUUUAUUGCUAUUGUUCUCGUCUCUCUGUUUCCCCCGAUUAGACUGUAAGCCCGUCAGAGGGCAGGGACUGUCUCUGUUACCAAUUUGUACAUUCCAAGCGUUUAGUACAGUGCUCUGCACAUAGUAAGC